UGGGCUAUCGCCAAAUGGUUAAGGCAUAGGAUUUUGGUUCCUAUAUUUGUCGGUUCGAAUCCGACUAGCCCCG
rnacentral:tRNA from 3 species